rnacentral:lncRNA from 1 species
UCCCGGGUUCAAGCAGUUCUCCUGCCUCAGCCUCCUGAGUAGCUGGGAUUACAGGCAUGUGCCACCACACCCAGCUAAUUUUUGUGUUUUUAGUAGAGAUGGGGUUUCACCAUGUUGGCCAGGUUGGUCUUGAACUCCUGACCUCAGGUGAUCCGCCUGCCUUGGCCUCCCAAAGUGCUGGGAUUACAGGCAUGAGCCACUGUGCCUGGCUGGCAUCUUCUCACUUUUUUGCUCAAACUUAUGUUCGCUAGUUACUGAAACUUGUAAAAUUUCUCUUUAAUGUUUUGAAGCAGAUCCUUUAGUUAGCUGACUUUGAUAACAACUCUGUUCUGAUAAUAUCAACAUUAGAGGACUCAGUCAUUUUCAGUAGCCAAAAUACUGUAUUUCUAGCCAAACUUAUAGUUGUUUCCUAUAAUUUUUAUAUAUUUCUGCAAGUAUUUUUAUUCUUCUCCUGAACAUUGUACCUCUUGGCUUUUAUUUCUUAUUUAUUUUUAUUUUAAAAAAUUAUUUUGUUGAGAGAAUCUUGUCCAGGCUGGUCUCCAACUCUUGGCCUCAAGCAAUCCUCCUGCCUUGGCCUCUCAUGAUUCUAGGCCUUGGCUUGAGAUGGCAUCUCUGGACCUACCCUGGGCCAGAGGGGAGCCCACUUCCUGAAGGAUGAGUUCCAGGGCUGGCAGCAUUCACCACAAGCUAACUGAAGAGCCCUUGGGCCUUAAAUAAACCAGUCUCUCUCUCUCUCUCUGGAGAAAGAACAGAAAAUAUCAACAAAACUAGCUAAGAUCUGAAGACACUGUUGAACAGCUUGUCCAACAGUAGGAAAACAGUUUUCUGGUUGGCAGAAAACAGAGAAGAGAAAUAAAGCAGCACAAAGCAAAAGUUGGAAGUGUGUAAGGGCAGGAGGCCAGUCCUAAUGAGGGCUGGUACCAAGGGACAGGCAGAUUGGCUUGGUAGGCUGAGACUUAAAAUGCCACUACUUGGCCAGGCGUGGUGGCUCACGCCUGUAAUCCCAGCACUUUGGGGGGCCAAGGCGGGUGGAUCACGAGGUCAGGAGUUCAAGACCAGCCUGGCCAGGAUGGUGAAACCCCAUCUCUACUAAAAAUAAAAAAAUUAGCUGGCACGGUGGCAGGCACCUGUAAUCCCAGCUACUCGGGAGGUUGAGGCAGGAGGAUCACUUGAACCCAGGCGGCAGAGGUUGCAGUGAGUCGAGAUCAUGCCACUGCACUCCAGCCUGGGCAAUAGAGUGAGACUCUGUCUCAAAAAAAAAAAAAAAAGCCACUACUUGCUAAGCAUUGUAAUUAUGAGGGUGGGGGGGAAACUGAGGGAAGGGGAAAGAGAAUGAACUUUGGGCAGUUUGUUUGAACUUUGAAAACUGGGCAACGGGGAGAACCUGCUGUGAAACAGACAGCUUUCUAUUGUGUCUAGAGUAGCGCAGACUUUCUAAGAAAUGGAUGUGGAUAGAGUAUGUAUUGGUGGCAUGCGCCUGUAGUCCCAGCCACUUGGAGGCUGAGGCAGGAGGAUCAUUUGAGUCCAGGAGCUUGAAGCUAUAAUGCGCCACCAUGUCUGUGAAUAGCCACUGCACUCCAGUCUGGGCAACAUAGCAGGACCUUUUCUCUUAAAAACAAAAAAGAGUUCCGGUGAAAUGGAUAAAGCAGACUGGGAAGGACGAAGCCUGUGGGGCUGGUGGGGCUGAGUCCCAACCAGCUUCAUCAGUGGUGAUCCUUUUGAACUUGUACCAAAGUUUCCAGAACAGAGGUGGCAUGGAUUUACCCUUGUGUGAUGCUCGAUCUCAGAGAUGGGACUCUGUGAUUGGCCUUUGUUGAACUGACAGGUAUUUGAAUGUGCACAUCCUACGUAGGACAUCGCAUUGAGUGUAGGCAUAGUGCCAGGGCAGCUUGCCUCAUCGUUACCAAACGCGUUUCCUGGGAUCUGUCAUUCUGUCCAUUGUGCUUUCUCCUGUUACUCUAGCAGUUCAGUGAAU